rnacentral:rRNA from 1 species
UACGUAGGGUGCAAGCGUUGUCCGGAAUUAUUGGGCGUAAAGAGCUCGUAGGCGGUCUGUCGCGUCGGCUGUGAAAACUCGGGGCUCAACUCCGAGCUUGCAGUCGAUACGGGCAGGCUAGAGUUCGGCAGGGGAGACUGGAAUUCCUGGUGUAGCGGUGAAAUGCGCAGAUAUCAGGAGGAACACCGAUGGCGAAGGCAGGUCUCUGGGCUGUAACUGACGCUGAGGAGCGAAAGCAUGGGGGAGCGAACAGG